rnacentral:sRNA from 1 species
AUGGGUCGCUUGGAAUCGUGACCUGGGCAGUAGCUUAUGAAGUUCGCUACAUCCCGUUCGACGUCUCUUACUUUCCUGCAACCCAGCCCCAGUACUCUUUCAUGCGAAAGAGGCUGUCAUCAAUUUUAGCGUCAAAGGAAAUAAGAAAAUGGCUGAUCGUCAGAGCGGUACCGUCAAGUGGUUCAACGACGAGAAGGGUUUUGGUUUUAUCACGCCUGAAAGCGGUCCGGAUCUGUUCGUGCAUUUCCGCGCCAUCCAGGGCAACGGCUUCAAGAGCCUGAAAGAAGGCCAGAAAGUCACUUUCGUUGCUGUGCAAGGCCAGAAAGGUAUGCAGGCUGACGAGGUUCAGGCCGAAGGCUAAGCUUUCGAGAACAAAAAGCCCCUGAUUGAUAUCAGGGGCUUUUUU